rnacentral:lncRNA from 1 species
UUUUCGUGGAAGUGUCGAGUUUUUAUGGCAAAAGCUUUGAUAGUGAAUCGGAAACAGAGACAGCGCAACGGCGCGGCGCAGGAUGGUAAUGGUUGAAUCAACUGCUGUGAUACGAACAGCGCGCGCACGUUGAGUGAGCCUGUGAUUGAAGACCCCAACGUAUAGGUGGCGCCAUCUUAACGAGAAAAUUUCAUCUAGCGAUCCGUACAUACUUACCUCAACCAAGAAGAAGGCGUCUAGAAGAAGGAGGAUACAGAGGGUAGUCAGUAGCGACGGCGGUGAGGCGUAAUUGAGUAAGUGUCUCUGCGGCUAGGUCCAGGUCCUAUUCUCU